UGAUGAUGUCGAACUAAACCAUACAGAUGAUGAAGAUGAUGAAUCCAGUGAUGUAGGGAAAGAUGGAGAUGAUGAUUUCGAACUAAACCAUACAGAUGAUGAAGAUUAUGAAUCCAGUGAUAUAAAUGAUGCAAGUCUGUCACUCAUAUUGGCUCUAGCUGUGUGUUACCGAGCUGGUUUAAGAUGCAGAGAAGAAUUUGAUGAAAAUAUUAUUAAACACUUCACAGCACCAUGCUCUGUUCCUGGAGGAUCGAAACAAUU